UUUGUCCCUUUCUUCUAGCCUUCGCUUUUUCCUCCUAUCACCAGCUCCUCUAGCCUCGAUUAAAAGCAGUCGAAGAAAAAAGAGGGAAAAAAGAACCAAAAAAAAGUCAUGGCAGCGAAAUCUACAUCAUCGUUCAAGAUUAUCUUGGGAUCUCAAUCUAUAGCCCGCCGACAUAUUUUAUCUGAGAUGGGAUAUGAGUUUGAAAUCAUGGCUGCAGAUAUCGACGAGAGGAGUAUUCGGAGGGAAAAUCCGGAGGAAUUGGUUAGGGUUCUAGCUGAGGCGAAGGCUGAUGCUAUCAUAUCAAGGCUGAUGAUCGAAGAUUAUGAAAAAGAGGAUGCUGAACCAAUGCUAUUAAUUACUUCUGAUGUAGUGGUGGUUCAUGAAGGGAUAAUCAGAGAAAAACCAACUAGUAGAGAAGAAGCACGGCAGUUCCUCAAAGGAUAUUCUGGAGGUCAUGUAUCAACUGUAAAUUCUGUACUGGUUACUAAUCUUAAAACUGGCAAACGAAGUGGAGGGCUGGACAAAGCUGAGGUGUUGCAUUCCAAGACAGGGCAAAGAUUAAUUCUGAUGCCGACCUUUUAAUACACACUGGGCUACUAUGGAUUUACUAGAAGUAUUAUUAUGUUUCUGAGCCACUCUGAUCAAAUCAGGAAGAGAUUGACACAUUGUGAUUGAGGUCAAGACUCAUUUAUCUGCCAAUGUUUUCCAGGUCUAUUUCCAUGAUAUACCAGAUGAAAUCAUCGAAAACCUGAUUGACGAGGGAGUAGUAUUUCGAGUUGCAGGAGGCUUACUUCUAGAGCAUCCACUUACUUUGCCCUUAGUUGAAGCAGUUGUUUGUUAUCAUCUGAUCGCAUAUCUUGUUCAAUACUUGCUUCUAUGUUUUUAAAGAAAAAAUGGAAAUAUGUUAAUAAAUCAAGAUUCAAUUUUGUGCAGAUUGGUGCUUCUGACAGUGUGAUGGGACUUCCAAUGGCUCUCACGGAAACGCUUAUCCAUGAGGCUCUGUCAUCGUUGGAACCCUAGUUUAUGAUUUUCACCCUUCUUUUGGGUGUUUACUACU